AAGUAGAGCAGAUUCAAGGAUCCUCUGCCAAGGGGAAGACCUGCUGGGGACAACAGAUGCCCGUCUCAACGCCCUGCCUUCUCCUUGCCAUGUCUUUCUGUCAGCCCCAACGCUGCAGCCUCUGCUCCCUUGGCAGCAGGUUCAUGAGAAAGCGUGUGAGGUAAUAUUUUUGAUGAGUCGGAAAGCUGCCUGUGGAAGAAGCUGACUCCUGGAUGGCUCUAGGGUGACAUACCUGUGUGACUGUAUGUCAGAUUUUAUUCAUAUACUUGCACCAAAACUAUAUACUUACGACGUUGGAAGCAGAUGAGAAUCCAACUGCCUUUUAUGAAGCCAGACUGAGGAGUGUUGGUCUGACUCCCCGGGUCCAGCCUGCAGCUGGCACAUGUCCGCUGCUGCCACAGUGGCCAUGAGAAGUGUGUCUAGGUUGCAAGAUGGAAGCUCGUGUUUGUUUAAGAAGGAGCCUGAUGACAUCACGUUGGCCUCAUCCUCCAGAAGGCUCAGGAGCCCGUGAAAGAGCACAGCCUUCCUGCUCCAUCAAUGUAGACCUAACACAAAGAUUUCUGUCUUUGGGUCUGAUUUCAAGCAGAAGAAACCUGGCAUGAGAAUCAAAUGCGUCCUUUGGACCACAGAGGGGAGGAAGAAAAACAGCCUUGGCUGGCGUCUCUUGGCCUCUGAAACGGUUCUCACGGGCUCUGUGUGUGCCUUCCUGCUACCCUUAAAAUGCUGGCAUUUGUUCUGCGGUUCGGGCCUCUUUCCUCUCAUGGGAUCAUUUGCCCGGGGGCUGAAGGGAGAAAAGACAGAAGGAGGUGAAGACAACCAGGCUGCAAGAAAGAGUAAAAGUCUAAGAGACCUGCCCGCACCCCCCAACCAUGGUGAGCCCGCCUCCUCGGCUGCACAGCUUGCUCAAGACACGGCCCUGAAAUGAAAGCCAGAAUGCAUGAAUGCACCCGCCCCUGAGAGGCUCGACUUGCCCUUCCACGCCCGCUUGUGCCAAACCUGGUGUUUCCAUCCAGAGGUUAUGGGUGUGCCUCCAGGAAUUGGGUGGUGAUCAAGAGCACGGUCCUGGAUGGGGACGCCCUGGGUGUAAGCACCAGCUCUACCACUUAUUAGCUAUGCGGCCUCUGACAGUGAUCUGACCACUCUCUGCCUCAGUUUCUUCGUUUGUAAAUGGGAGUGGAGGUCUUGCUUCUCAGGGCUGUCGUGAGGGUUCAGCUGUGCUGUGUAGAGGCCUCAGAACAACGCCAGGCACACAGUGUUAAAUGCGUGCUUAUCACUGUCAUCAUCAUCAUCUGUAUUUAUUACGCUCAUUUGCUGCUUCUUUCUCUUCUAUGUAAAUGGAAGCUAUAAUUAGCAUGCACAAGUUACAAUUUAUUUUCAUGUUGGUACGCCUUAAAAAAGUCUCCCAGGUUUAAAGUAACUUCUCAAGUUGAACAUUCCUUUAAAAAAAAAAAAAAGAUUUAUUGACUUAUUUGAGACAGAGAGAAAGAGAGAGGAGCAGACUCCCCGCUGAGCAGGGAGCCCGACGUGGGGCUCGAUCCCAGGACCCUGAGAUCACGAUCUAAGCUGAAGGCAGACACUUCACUGACUGAGCCACCGAAGUGCCCUUCAUGUUGAAUAUUCCUUAAAUAUAACUUCUCCUUCCUGGGGCUCAGAGUUGACCAUCAUAGCCUGGAUGCCCUAACCAUCUGAUAUGAACAUUUGGGUGGUGAAUGAGUGAUUAAAGUUUUAACACAGAACGUUAAGUUCAGCAUCAUUUAAUAAAUGUGCAGCCAUGGCCAUUUCUUGUGGUAGUGGGGGUCUAGAGGAUAAUCUGGAUAGAUGGAAGACACCAAUAAUCCCCAGGCCUCAUUUGGCCAGGACUUUAUUAUCUUUCUCUCGUUAGGCUUUAUGAUUUUUUUCCUCACCUAGAACUCCAGACAGAUGUUUUAAUGACUGGCUUUGGACGGUCCUCCUUGUCCAUCCCUGCUGUGUGUUCUGGGGCUGCCCUGAGAAGCAGCAGGCAGCCUGGAAUAUCUCCCCUUUGGACAAAGAGCUGGUGGGCAAUUGAAGGUUAACUUACCUCUGAAGGAAACCCAGUUUCACUACCAAGAUACCAGGAGAACACUCUCAUUUAAAUAAAACAUGUAGCCGAAUCCCGUUCAAAUUAGCCAAGGGGUUUGGUCCGUGACACCAGGGCCUGGGGAUAUCAGAGAAAGCAAGUGUCAUUUUCCUGGAUUAGAUGGAGCCAGACACAGUUAAUUAAUUGCUUACAUUUUCACAAGCUGGCUGGGAUAGGAUAGCAUGGGGUGGAGUAGGUGGGUAGACUAACCUCCAUGCCCUGCCUCCAAAGCCCUGCAAUCAGGUUCAAACUUGGGCUCAUCUGUUCAACAAAAUAAUUGAGCCAUUCACAGUUUCAGGCACUGAAGAUACAUACAGUAAUGAACAAAAUAGAUAAGAUGCCCGCCCUCAUAGAGGUUAAUCUAGAGAGAGAGGCCACAAACAAGUGACAUUUAUAUACAUAUAAUAUGAUUUCACACGGUGGAUCAAUGAAGAAAAAAGAAGCAGAACAAAGGGUAGAGAAGGAAGGAAAUGCAUAACUACGUAGAUGAGGUGGUAAUAGGGAGCUCUGAAAACUGUUGUCAGUUUGGAAGCAAGUCAUGGGAUGAUCUGGGUAAGAGGGAAUAGCAGGUGCAAAGGCCCGGAGGGGCAACAGAGCCUGGCACUCUGAAGGAAUGAUUAGAAGGCUAACAUAAGUCGUGACAUUUUAGUCAUAGCAUGAUAGUAUCUGUCCUCCCACUUCAUCCAGUUUUAUUUGAUGUCUGAUUUUCCUACACAGCAUCCCUUGUAGUGAGCACCCAGCUUCUGCCCUAGAGUCAGUGAUGGACUCACCUUCCUGACGAAGCUAUUUUCAGACAGCUUAUUGCUAAUACUUGGUUCUACAAACGGAAAGUCCUUCAGCCCUCCCAAAGCUUCCAGGCACUUGUUCUUGUUUAAUCACAUUGAAAUACACAAUAUAAGUCUGAUUCCUUUUCCAUAAGACAGGCUUUCAAUUAUUUGGAGACGGGCAUCUUAUCCCUCCAUGUCGUUUCUUAAUAAGCAAGACAGUUCCUUCAACUGUUCUUUGUAUAGUUUGGUUUUAAGUUCCUUUACUUUGCUGGUGGAUCUCCCUGAAAUAUAUUCCAGAUUGCAUGCUUCUCUCCUACAGUGUGGAACCCAGAAACAAAUGCAAAGAUCCGGGCAUGACCUGGGCAGCAGAGUACAGGGUGACCAGGCCCUCCUUCAUGACAGAUUCUUGACUUUCAUGGUGCUUUGUCAUUUUCAGGUAGUUUUGUGGUUUGUUUGUUUGUUUGUUUUUUGCAACCACAUUGCUUUUAAUUGAGAUUGAAUUAAUUGUUGACGAAAACUCUCAAAGCUCUUUUUUUUUU